GAUGAACGCUGGCGGCGUGCCUAAUACAUGCAAGUCGAGCGAACAGACGAGGAGCUUGCUCCUCUGACGUUAGCGGCGGACGGGUGAGAAACACGUGGAUAACCUACCUAUAAUACUGGGAUAACUUCGGGAAACCGGAGCAAAUACCGGAGAAUAUACUGAACCGUAUGGGUCAAUAGUGAAAGACGGCUUUUGUGUCACGUAUAGCGGCAUCCGGGCCUCAUUGGCUAGUUGGUCGGGUAACGGCUUACCAGGGCAACGAGGCGUAGACGAACGGCGAGGGGGGUCGGCGACAUGGGAGGGGGACCGCGGACAAGACUCCUACGAGAGGCACCAGAAGGGAAUCUUCCGCAGUGGGGGAGAGCCUGACGCAGCAGGCCGGCGUGAGUGAUAAAGGCCUUCGGAUCGUAAUACUCGGUUAUGGGGGAAGAACAAAUUUGGACGUAACUAUGCACGUCUUGACGGUACCUAAUAAGAAAGCACCGGCUAACUACGUG
rnacentral:rRNA from 1 species